UACGAAGGGGGCUAGCGUUGUUCGGAUUUACUGGGCGUAAAGCGCACGUAGGCGGGUUGUUAAGUCAGGGGUGAAAUCCUGGAGCUCAACUCCAGAACUGCCUUUGAUACUGGCAACCUAGAGACUGGAAGAGGUUAGUGGAAUUCCCAGUGUAGAGGUGAAAUUCGUAGAUAUUGGGAAGAACACCAGUGGCGAAGGCGGCUAACUGGUCCAGCACUGACGCUGAGGUGCGAAAGCGUGGGGAG
rnacentral:rRNA from 1 species